AUGAUUCACUUUCAUAAGGUUGGAUACAUUGGCCAUUGUCUUGGGAAGCGUGAUGCUACAUUUCUAAAAACCGUGAAAUGUGCUUAAUAUAUGAAAUAUGCAUAGAAUUAUAUAAAAUUUGAAAAGUUUCAAGUAUUCUUUAAGUAUUUUGGAAGCAGGAAAGAUGAAAAAUUAGCAACGCCUUCGCCAGGAAUCGAACUGCGGACCUCUGGAAUACGCGCCUAGCGUGCAGACCACCACACCAUGAAGGCGGGAGAAAUACCUUCUAUCUGCUGCUGGACUCACUCCAGCUGGGCUAUGAAAAUUGGAAUAUUUUUAGAAGAAUUACAUGAUUCUAGGUAAUUAAAUUGUUAUUAGAUCAUUGUCAACAUAUUCUAAAAUACUCAGGAUGCCGCUGGUAAUUGUUCUCAUAUCGUUGUUUGGUAUGCAUGUUUUACAGGUUGUCAUUACAUGUCUUAAGCACUUCCAUUUGUAAUUACUUUAUUUCUAAUAUUUAUAUAAACUGCUAUUAAAUAGUUUUUUUUAGCUCUUAAUGGGCAAUAAAUUAUUAUAAUUUGAGGGCUGAACAUAUGAUUUUAUGGCACGUGGCACAGAAAAGGGUUGUCUUCCUCUAUAUGCGUAAUACGUAUUUAUUGUAACAGAUGAAAAAAUUUAAUAUCAUAAAUUUCAACUUACAGUUAAAAGAAUAACAUACUCCAUCUUCUGUAAAAUGGAAUAUGCUGGUUUAAACAAAAUUAAACAAUGAAUUCAUAAUUUUUACAUUUCUAAAAAUACAACCUAUCUCCAUCUCAAACUGAAACAAUAACAUUAAUCUUUAUUUACAUAAUCCUAAAACUAAAGAUUCUUAAAAUAUACGUGAUAGUCUGCAUAAUUUUAAGCAUUGUAACUAAAAAUAUUCUAUAAAUUAGUAAUAACGUGGCUUAAUGUAACUUGGAUUAGACAAAACAAUUAAACUAGAUAACUGGAGUUUUACAGAAGUUCACAUGCGCUAACGUAAUACGUUCACACAAUUUUAACGUUUUCGUUGAAAUUGGUAGAGCUUCAUUUUUUAGCUUUCAUAAAUUCUCACAUAUAUGCCUAUUAUUAAAUAAUUAAGAACUUGUAUGCAUAUUCCCUGCACUGCAGAAUAACAACAUCUAGAACAACCAAAUUAAAAGCACAGUUCCUCAACCCGGACAUGUGCACCUCAAAGCCAGAAUCGCAAAUUUCAAAUUUGACUGACUAAUAUUUUGUGCAAAAUUUAAAAAUUCCCGAAUAAAAACUUUGCGAUUAAAAAGCAAUAUGCUGCCACUUUGCAAAGCGUAAAAUAUUUAUGUUUCAAAUCAGAAAACUCAGCAAUUUAAAAGAAAUGUAUUGCCAUUUAGCACAAAUGUAUUUGUCUGACAUUGAUUAAAAAAAAAAAAAAA